rnacentral:sRNA from 1 species
GUGGUUAUACUGUUCAUUUGCUUGUGUGUAUAGCUCGUAGAUGGGAGGAUCGCCUCAUUAAGUAUUUGUCAUAAUACUUACGCAUCUCUUUCUUUUAUGUGCAGGUAAAGAUAAAGUGUGAUCGUGAAGUCAUGGCAAUAAAGAGAGGAUGAUCUAGGAACUCGUUCGGUUUAUUGUUGUGUUUUGGUUAUUGGAACCCGGUUAGGAUUGUGUUAGGAUUGUUAGUCAUUUUUGGUUUUGUUGGUCAAAUUAUUUAUUUAUUCAUAAAAUUGUAUUUUCGACUUGCGGUUUAAAUGUUGCUGUAUUGGUUAGUUUAAUUAAGUAUUUAUGGAAAUAUUUAAUUAU